rnacentral:sRNA from 1 species
UAAUAGAUUUCAUACCGUAGACAGUAGGUGCUUUUUAGCUUAAUUUCCUACCGAGGUGUGUGAACGAAUAGAUCGUAUAUACGUUUAUUCUAAGCACCUCCAUGUCUUUGGAGGUGCUUUUUGUUUG